rnacentral:tRNA from 2 species
GUGGCAUUAGCUCAGUCGGAUAGAGCAACUGCCUUCUAAGCGGUUGGUCGCAGGUUCGAAACCUGCAUGCUGCACCA